rnacentral:rRNA from 1 species
UACGUAGGGGGCUAGCGUUGUCCGGAUUUAUUGGGCGUAAAGAGCGUGUAGGCGGCCAGGUAGGUCUGCUGUGAAAAACUCGAGGCUCAACCUCGAGACGUCGGCGGAAACCAUCUGGCUAGAGUCCGGAAGAGGAGAGUGGAAUUCCUGGUGUAGCGGUGAAAUGCGCAGAUAUCAGGAAGAACACCCGUGGCGAAGGCGGCUCUCUGGGACGGUACUGACGCUGAGACGCGAAAGCGUGGGGAGCGAACAGG